GCUGCAAGUCGUACGCGAARGUCCCUUCGGGGCCGAGUAGAGUGGCGAACUGGUGAGUACAAGGUGAAUAACGUGCCUCAAAGUGGGGGAUAACUCCGCGAAAGCGGAGCUAAUACCGCAUGGUCUUUCCCGUUUAAGAGUGGGAAAGUAAAGCAGUGAUGCGCUUUGAGAUCGGUUCACCUCCCAUUAGCUUGUUGGUGGGGUAACGGCCCACCAAGGCUGCGAUGGGUAGCUGGUCUGAGAGGAUGGUCAGCCACACUGGGACUGAGAUACGGCCCAGACUCCUACGGGGGGCAGCAGUCUAGAGGCCUUGACAAUGCCCGAAAGGGUGAUCAAGCGACGCCGCGUGCGGGAUGAAGGGCUUCGGCUUGUAAACCGCUUUUGUUUGGGACGAAGGCCUUGGUCGUGAACCAGGGAUUGACGGUACCAGA
rnacentral:rRNA from 1 species